AUGAGCAGAGACAGAGACUUCUCUACAUCCUCCGUCUUGUGCUUCACGGAGACGUGGCUCUGCGGAUCGAUACCGGACUCCGCGCUCCAGCUGGCGGGCUUCCAGCUGCUCCGAGCGGACCGCGACACGGAGCUCUCCGGCAAGACGAAGGGUGGAGGAAUCUGCUUCUACUUCAACAACAGCUGGUGCAACGACGUAACGGUGAUCCUACAACACUGUUCUCCUGAUCUGGAAACUUUUUUCAUCCACUGCAAACCCUUUUAUUCCCCCCGUGAGUUCGCUUCAUUCAUCCUGGUCGGUGUUUACAUGCCGCCGGCGGGCAACGUGCACGAGGCACAGCGGACACUCGCCGACCAGAUACGGCGUGUGGAGCGGACCAACCCGGACUCUUUAGUUAUUGUCCUCGGGGACUUUAACAAAGGAAAUCUCACCCAUGAACUCCCUAAAUACAGACAGUUUAUUAAAUGCCCCACCAGAGAGGAGAACACGCUGGAUCACUGUUACACCACAGUAAGCAGGGCUUAUCACGCCGUCCCUCGUGCUGCACUGGGACACUCUGACCACGUCAUGGUCCAUCUGAUUCCUGCAUACAGGCAGAAACUAAAGCUCUGCAAACCUGUGGUGAGGGAAUUCAAGAAGUGGACCAGUGAGGCGCUGGAGGAUCUUCGGGUGUGCUUUGACUGCACAGACUGGGAUGUUUUCAGGACUGCUACUGACAGUCUGGAUGAGUUCACAGAGGCUGUAACUUCCUACAUCGGCUUCUGUGAGGACAGCUGUGUACCAUCAUGCACCAGGGUGAGUUACAACAACGACAAACCCUGGUUCACAGCGGAACUCAGAACACUACGCCUGCAGAAGGAUCAGGCAUUUAGGAGUGGGGACAAAGACUUGUACACAGAGGCAAAAUACAAGUUUAGCAAGGCGGUGAGAGACGCUAAACGACUGUACUCUGAGAAACUCCAACAACAGUUCUCAGCAAGUGACUCUGCUUCGGUUUGUAGAGGCCUCAAACACCUCACCAACUACAAGCCAAAAACCCCCCACUCCAUGAAUGACCUCCGCCUGGCAGACGAGCUCAAUUAG
ensembl:lncRNA